UACCCACCGUCUGCCUUUCGUGCCCUCGCAGCCCCCUCGCAGGAGAGCCCUGUAUCAGGUUUUCUCUGGUGAGCUUCUAGAGCAGCAGCCGUUUUCCUGAUGGACUAAGACGGACACAUUUUGUGCUUCCGCUUCUUCAUCUGCGAAAUGCUAAUGGUACCUAUCUCACAGGGCUGCUGUGAACUUUAACCAGUGAAUAUAUUUGAAGUGAGUAGGUCAGAACCAGGCACACAGCACGUGGCAGCUGUUCUGGAAAAUACAGCCAAGGCACCAAACUCCAUUUAGGAUCUUAGGGAGGAGAUCUUGAAGCCUUAAAGGAUGAGAAGAAAACCAGACCUCCUAAAACCCUUCAAAUUUCCUGUGAUGAGAGCCACCAAGGUAUCUUUCGUGAUGUUAAUAAGCGACAUCUGGAAAGCACCUAUGGGUGGAGGCCGGUUGCCAGUGGAACCAACAGUCUGAUUUGAAGGGGUCGUAGGACGUGGUAGCAAGAAGUGUGUCUCAGUUGACCUGUAGAUGAGCCAACACCAGACAUCCAUCCAUGUCUGAUCUUCUGUGCUGACCUUGGCGACUGGAAAUGACACAACCCAAUUUUUCUGGUGAUUCCACUGAACCCCUGAUCUUUUCCUUCAUGUGACAAAGCACCCAUAAGAUACUCCUGCUGAAUACAGAUAGCUCCUCUGAUUGAGAACAAGCAUGAAUCUGGUUAUCUGCCUUCUCCUGUACAUUAGGCCAUUUGUAGGUUCCUCAUCUCCCUUUCGAGGU